GGCUUCUUGAAAAUAUAAGAAGUCUGGCCUGCCCAGUGAUAAAAUUUUAACGGCCGCAGUACUCUGACUGUGCAAAGGUAGCAUAAUCAUUUGCCCUAUAAUUGAGGGCUUGUAUGAAUGGUUUGACAAGAGCAUAACUGUCUCCUUAAAAUUUAAUAGAAUUUAGUCUUUAGGUGAAGAAACCUAAAUAAAAUUGAUAGACAAGAAGACCCUAUCGAGCUUUAAAAUAUUUUGUUAAAAAAUGUAUGUAAAUUAAUCAAUUUUAAUAAAAAAUUUUGGUUGGGGCGACUAAGGAACAACAAAAACUUCCUUUUGGAGUAAGUGACCUAUAAGUUUAGAUCCGAAAAUUUCGAUUAACAGAAUUAGUUACCGUAGGGAUAACAGCAUAAUCUUUUUUGAGAGUUCUUAUCGAAAAAAAGGUUUGUGACCUCGAUGUUGGACUAGGAUAUCCUAUAGAUGCAGAAGUCUUUAAGGGUUGGUCUGUUCGACCAUUAAAAUCCU
rnacentral:rRNA from 1 species